rnacentral:rRNA from 1 species
UACGGAGGGGGCUAGCGUUAUUCGGAAUUAUUGGGCGUAAAGGGCGUGUAGGCGGCUUCGUAAGUCUCAUUGUGAAAGCCCUCGGCUCAACCGAGGAACUGCAUGGGAAACUGCGGAGCUUGAGUCCGGGAGAGGAGAGCGGAAUUCCCAGUGUAGCGGUGAAAUGCGUAGAUAUUGGGAGGAACACCGGUGGCGAAGGCGGCUCUCUGGACCGGUACUGACGCUGAGGAGCGAAAGCGUGGGGAGCGAACAGG